rnacentral:rRNA from 1 species
CCUACGGUGGGCAGCAGUGGGGAAUAUUGGACAAUGGGCGAAAGCCUAAUCCAGCCAUGCCGCGUGUGUGAAGAAGGCCUUCGGGUUGUAAAGCACUUUCAGUGGGGAAGAAAGCCUUGGGGCUAAUACCCUCGAGGAAGGACAUCACCCACAGAAGAAGCACCGGCUAACUCCGUGCCAGCAGCCGCGGUAAUACGGAGGGUGCGAGCGUUAAUCGGAAUUACUGGGCGUAAAGCGCGCGUAGGCGGUCUGAUAAGCCGGUUGUGAAAGCCCCGGGCUCAACCUGGGAACGGCAUCCGGAACUGUCAGGCUAGAGUGCAGGAGAGGAAGGUAGAAUUCCCGGUGUAGCGGUGAAAUGCGUAGAGAUCGGGAGGAAUACCAGUGGCGAAGGCGGCCUUCUGGACUGACACUGACGCUGAGGUGCGAAAGCGUGGGUAGCAAACAGGAUUAGAUACCCCAGUAGUC